AGUGAACGCUGGCGGUAGGCCUAACACAUGCAAGUCGAACGGCAGCACAGGAGAGCUUGCUCUCUGGGUGGCGAGUGGCGGACGGGUGAGGAAUACAUCGGAAUCUACUUUUUCGUGGGGGAUAACGUAGGGAAACUUACGCUAAUACCGCAUACGACCUACGGGUGAAAGCAGGGGAUCUUAGGACCUUGCGCGAUUGAAUGAGCCGAUGUCGGAUUAGCUAGUUGGCGGGGUAAAGGCCCAUCAAGGCGACGAUCCGUAGCUGGUCUGGGAGGAAGCUCAGCCACACUAGAACUGAGACACGGUCCAGACUCCUACGGGAGGCAGCAGUGGGGAAUAUUGGACAAUGGGCGCAAGCCUGAUCCAGCCAUACCGCGUGGGUGAAGAAGGCCUUCGGGUUGUAAAGCCCUUUUGUUGGGAAAGAAAUCCAGCUGGUUAAUACCCGGUUGGGAUGACGGUACCCAAAGAAUAAGCACCGGCUAACUUCGUGCCAGCCGCCGCAGUAA
rnacentral:rRNA from 1 species